rnacentral:lncRNA from 1 species
GGCCAUGUAUGGCAUCUGCAAAACAACAAAGGGAGAGUCAUGGAUGGUUUUGAAAAAUGCCUCUUUAAUUUACUCAUCACAAUGGCUUUUGCAUUGCUUCAAUUUUUGAAAAACAAGUACAAUUUUUUCUUAAAAAUCCUUGUAGAUCUUUAAUGCAAAUAGUUAAAGGCUCACUGCCCUGGCAUGCUAAGAUUUAUCCUUAUUACUGUUAAUUGAUUAAUUGAGAGGAAAUUUUGCUUAAUAGCGAAAGAGAAAGUUUAGGCUUUGGGUGACCCAAAUUUAGUUUCUUAUCCUGCCACAGGCUUCCUGUAUAACCUUUAACCCUGCUGUAUUUUACUCUGUCACAUGCAGAAUUAGGAUAAUAGUACUUCCUUAUUUGAGAGGGAUGUAGGAAGUUAAGUGCAUUAGAAUAUGAAGUGUUCAGAUACUACAAAAGUGGGGAGGAGGCAUAUAAAUACCUACGCAUAUUCCAACAAUACUCCUCAGAGGCACAAGUGUGCUGAAUACUACACAAAACCUGGGUGACAGGAAGGAGAAGAGAAACACUGGGAAGAUUAUCAUCAAGAAAGUGGAAUUUCCGAUAUUCAAUCGUAAACAGUGUGGCAGACUCAACAUUUUUGUUAUUUUUGCUACAGUCUUAAGGUCUUGGAAGCAAAUUCAAGAUUAUGGCUUUCAGUCUCGGGGAGUUCGGAGGGCAGCAGCGGCGUGUUCCUUCCUCUACGCCACGGCUUGCGUCAUGCGCAGGGCCUCUGUUGAGAUCAAAGACAUUUGCUUUCUAUUAUCCUAUCUGGAAGAGAAGUUGACUGAUAAAGAAGUCUCCACCCUAAUGAUUAAACCCUAUUUGGAUUUAAAUACCUGGAUGAGACCCCUUCAGCCUGCAGGCAGGAUUAGGAGGCCCAUGACUCCAGUGCCCAUUUGCUAAUCUGGAUGCAGAACACACUCUGCCUGUCUGCAAAAUGUUGUGUCAUUUGGCUUUCAUAGUCGGUUACUGUCAUCCCAGGGCAUUUUUUUCUUCCAGUGGUGCCACUGGGAAAUGAAAUUGAGAUGAAUCCAUACUAAAUAGCUACAUGACAGCAAGAGCUGAGCAAAUAAAUAAGGGAAGAUUAUGGAGCA